rnacentral:rRNA from 1 species
UUACCAUGCAGUCGAACGAUGAACCACUUCGGUGGGGAUUAGUGGCGAACGGGUGAGUAACACGUGGGCAAUCUGCCCUGCACUCUGGGACAAGCCCUGGAAACGGGGUCUAAUACCGGAUACUGACCUUCACGGGCAUCUGUGAAGGUCGAAAGCUCCGGCGGUGCAGGAUGAGCCCGCGGCCUAUCAGCUUGUUGGUGAGGUAAUGGCUCACCAAGGCGACGACGGGUAGCCGGCCUGAGAGGGCGACCGGCCACACUGGGACUGAGACACGGCCCAGACUCCUACGGGAGGCAGCAGUGGGGAAUAUUGCACAAUGGGCGAAAGCCUGAUGCAGCGACGCCGCGUGAGGGAUGACGGCCUUCGGGUUGUAAACCUCUUUCAGCAGGGAAGAAGCGAAAGUGACGGUACCUGCAGAAGAAGCGCCGGCUAACUACGUGCCAGCAGCCGCGGUAAUACGUAGGGCGCAAGCGUUGUCCGGAAUUAUUGGGCGUAAAGAGCUCGUAGGCGGCUUGUCACGUCGGUUGUGAAAGCCCGGGGCUUAACCCCGGGUCUGCAGUCGAUACGGGCAGGCUAGAGUUCGGUAGGGGAGAUCGGAAUUCCUGGUGUAGCGGUGAAAUGCGCAGAUAUCAGGAGGAACACCGGUGGCGAAGGCGGAUCUCUGGGCCGAUACUGACGCUGAGGAGCGAAAGCGUGGGGAGCGAACAGGAUUAGAUACCCUGGUAGUCCACGCCGUAAACGGUGGGCACUAGGUGUGGGCAACAUUCCACGUUGUCCGUGCCGCAGCUAACGCAUUAAGUGCCCCGCCUGGGGAGUACGGCCGCAAG